AUUGAACGCUGGCGGCAUGCCUUACACAUGCAAGUCGAACGGUAGGGGGAGCAAUCCCCUGAGAGUGGCGAACGGGUGAGUAAAGCAUCGGAACGUGCCCAGUUGUGGGGGAUAACUACUCGAAAGAGUGGCUAAUACCGCAUACGACCUGAGGGUGAAAGCGGGGGACCGAAAGGCCUCGCGCAGUUGGAGCGGCCGAUGUCAGAUUAGCUAGUUGGGGGGGUAAAGGCCCACCAAGGCGACGAUCUGUAGCUGGUCUGAGAGGACGACCAGCCACACUGGGACUGAGACACGGCCCAGACUCCUACGGGAGGCAGCAGUGGGGAAUUUUGGACAAUGGGCGCAAGCCUGAUCCAGCCAUGCCGCGUGCAGGAAGAAGGCCUUCGGGUUGUAAACUGCUUUUGUCAGGGAAGAAAUCCCUUGGGUUAAUACCUCGGGGGGAUGACGGUACCUGAAGAAUAAGCACCGGCUAACUACGUGCCAGCCGCCGCGGUAAAAC
rnacentral:rRNA from 1 species